rnacentral:lncRNA from 1 species
UUAUUAAAAGGCUAUUCUUUAACCCUCAUUUAGGAGGAGAUCAAAAAUGGAUUCACAGGAUAUACAAAGGCAUGCUACACAUGUGGGUCAUAUUCUAAUUAGGCUCUCAAAUAAUUUGGAGCCAAAAGUGAUUUUUUUUUCCUGAAGCUUUCUAAUUCAAAUGUUAGUAGUACAUAAAAAGGUCAAUUGUUUAUCUUUCAAUUCAAGUAAGAACAUAGAGAAAACAGUCACCUCCACCAUAGCCUUAGAUGUGAGCCAACAGCUUGUAACAGCCUUGAGAUGAAGACUUCACAUCAUGGCUAUGGUAGA